CAUUUGCAUGUGUGAUAGCAAGACCUGAGGGCCAAAACCAACAGGAGACGAUCUCAGAACUUGCAGCAAGGCCUCCACUUGCUGCACUAACACGUCCCCAUUGGAGGGGGGGUGACAGGGGUCCACAGCUCAGUCCCCUCCUCAUUAGCUGCUCACAGGGGCUACCUCCUGAUGCCUCUAUCCCUAGGCCCUCAGCCCAUCAUGUGCAAGAACGGUGGUCAAGGGAGCAUGGUGUGAACACUGCUGAAUCCUGGAAGGAUGGAGAGACAGAUGAACAAUGGCUCAUCGGCGACACCUGGAGCCGAUUAAGGGGGCAUGGCAUAAGAGGGCAUCCCGGAGACCACACCGUGCGGAUCCUCCUUGGAGCAACAGCAGUGUCUGUCCUUUGGUUUCUUCUGAUGUACUUAUCUUUCCUGGUUUUGACUCUUGCUUUCUGUUUUGCCCAACUAUGUCCCUGUCCCAUUCCCUGGAUAACAUUUGCUGUUCGCUUGACCUGUGCCUGUCCCUGGAUUUUGCUUCUGACUACCCCUUUGGAUUUUGUUGCCCUUCGAAUGAAAGACGAGCACGCACUUGAGUCCGUUGUUCUAUUCUGUCCGUUAACCAUGACACACUAUGUGUGAUAUAAAUCAUCAAACAUGAGAAGACCUAUAAAAGCCAUUUUAAUCCAAUAAGGGGGUAUUUCAUUACAGAGGGGGUGUCACGUGGCACUGCAGGACUUGGAGUGGCGCAGCAUCAUGCCGCUGUAGCCAUGCAUUAAAUUAAAAGUGAGAGGCUCCAAGAGACUGCAUUUCCUGUGGCCAAAAACAAGGUUCCCGCGUUUCUCCCAUAAAGAGCAGAACAUAAAACAGGCACUUAAUGCAAUGUUUCUCUGCUCAUUUGAUCAAUGGAAAUGAGCCCAACUCUCACGUGUCAUACACACUCCAGUGCCCCAUUACUGCUGCUUAUCAUCUCUUCCGCUGAUUUACAUCUUUUAUUUUAUUUUUUAAGGGUCCAGCCAAAGGGUCCUAUUGAGCAUUUGGACCUACAGCUUUCGCAGAACACCACCCAUGCAUAUGUGCCCUUUCUUCCUUUCAUUGUUUAUAUCACUUUAUGAGUUUAUUUUUAAUCGUGUUUCCAGUGUGUAUGUGAAGUUUCUGCUCUGAGAUAUCUCUUCUGCUGUAGAAUUUACCCUGGACCUGAGUGGUUGGUCCCAUGUUUACCUCCUCCCACCCUACAACCUAUAAUCAUCACUAGACAUCAAUUAAUUUUAAAGACAUGAUCCCCCACUUUAUGCAAAUAAGGCCUGUCUGUGUGUAUACAUUAAGUCGGCCCCCAAUCCCCUACAAUCUCAUCUCAUUUGCAUUUUCUGUACGAGUUGCAUUGUUUUAUUUCAACUAUAAUUGGAUUUUAAAAGAUCACAGAGAAAUAGCAAGGUUUUGGCCAAAGAGCACAGGAUUGGGGUCCACACACAAACACACACACACACAAACACACACACACACACACACACAGAGCUGAUCUCCUUCACCCCUCCUGUUCAUUUCAUGUAUCCAGGGCUAUCUUAUUCAAGGAAAAUCACAGCUUCACGAUAAAUUCCAGUCAUAUGAUUCCACAUGAAAUUUUAUCAUUUUAAAUUUAUCUGACACUGUUCUCCAAAGCAACUGAGUGUUAGGCUCUUUGCACUGUUUAACUCAUUUAUACAGGAGGGUAUCGGUUGAUGGUAAUAAAUCUGAUCAAGGUACUACA
ensembl:lncRNA